CACGUGUCCCGCAGGUACGAGAAGUCCAGCCGGGUGUAGGAUGUAGCGAUCGUGGGCAGAACCCGUUAACCCGGAAGCUUAUUUAAUUAUUCGAUGGAGUUUUUUUUAGAUAAAGCAUUCCCUGGUUGUAGGUGGGCAGGUACGAGCAACUAAUUCGCUAAUCACGGGUUCACGCAGCCCUAUAAAUAGGGCCUACACGUUUCGUCCCAGACGCCAGAUACUGCAGCAGAUUAGUUUACAAUUAAAGAAUAGUAUCUUUCUAUUUGGUAGUAUGGACGGAGCUGAUGGAUCCGAGAAGCCCGCCGGUGAAGAGAGUGGACGCAUUGGAUCUGAUCAGCCCGCCGGUGACGAGAAUCAAAGCAUCACCAUUUCCCUUGAUCACUGCAGCCGCAUGAUGGAAGUUAUUGGGAGGAUCGACCAUUUGAUGACCACAAUUGAGAUGCAUGGCAGACUAAUUUCUUUGAUCCGGCGACAACUGGACGAAGGUCGACGCGGUACUGGUUUCGCGCCUAGGCGGUGCAUGGCUUGUGGCGUGACGGGCCACAAUAGGAGUACCUGUGGACGUGCUUCUCGUUAGAAUACUUGGCGUCAUGAAGAUAGGACAGUCUAGUUAAAGUAAUAGGUUUUAUUUCAUUCAAUUUAAAUUGCAGUAGUGAAGAUGUAUUUCCCUUGAGCAUUGUCAAUGUAUUUCCAUGAUGGAUGAAUAUAAUAAAAUGUUCUGUCAUGUUGGUUUUGUAUGAA